GGAAUUUUCCGCAAUGGGCGAAAGCCUGACGGAGCAAUACCGCGUGAAGGAUGAAGGCCCGUGGGUCGUAAACUUCUUUUCUUCGAGACGAAUUUUGACGGUAUCGAAGGAAUCAGCAUCGACUAACUCUGUGUCAGCAGCCGCGGUAAGACAGAGGAUGCAAGUGUUAUCCGGAAUGAUUGGGCGUAAAGCGUUCGUAGGUGGCUUUUGAAGUCUCCUGUCAAAUCCCAGAGCUCAACUCUGGACAGGCACGAGAAACUCGAGAGCUUGAGUAUGGUAGAGGUAGGAGGAAUUCCCGGUGUAGCGGUGAAAUGCGUAGAGCUCGGGAAGAACACCAAUGGCGAAAGCAUCCUACUGGGCCAUCACUGACACUGAGGGACGAAAGCUAAGGGAGCGAAUGGGAUUAGAUACCCCAGUAGUC
rnacentral:rRNA from 1 species